rnacentral:rRNA from 1 species
ACGAUGGAUGCUAGAUGCUGGGUGUGUAAGACAUUCGGUGUCGGAGUUAACGCGUUAAGCAUCCCGCCUGGGGAGUACGCUCGCAAGGCUGAUACUCAAAGAAAUUGACGGGGGCCCGCACAAACGGUCGAGUAUGUGGUUUAAUUCGAUGCAACGCGAAGAUCCUUACCUGGGCUUGACAUCCCGGGAACCUCCUGGAAACAGGGGCGUGCCCUUCGGGGAACCCGUGGACAGCUGCUGCAUGGCUGUCGUCAGCUCGUUCCGUGAGGUGUUGGGUUAAGUCCCGCAACGAGCGCAACCCUUGUCCUUAGUUGCCAUCAGGUAAAGCUGGGCCCUCUAGGGAGACUGCCGAGGUGAACUCGGAGGAAGGUGGGGACGACGUCAAGUCAUCAUGGCCCUUACGCCCAGGGCUACACACGUACUACAAUGGUGGUACAAAAGGAAGCCAAACCGCGAGUGGAGCCAAUCCCCGAAAGCCUACACCAGUUCAGAUCGCAGUCUGCAACUCGACUGCGUGAAGNCGGAAUCGCUAGUAAUCG